AAAGUAUUUACGUUUUCAGACAGUGUUGUGUCCGGUGAAAUAAAAUGCAACAUUGUUUUCAUGAGAAAAUAACCAAUCCUUAAGCAAUCAACAUCUCUAUGUUUGAGUUUACAUUCUCAGUACUACUAACUAAAACUUUUUACCAAAAAUAUAGAAAUCCUUUCUUUUAAUACGGGUAGUAGUAUAGUUCUAAUGCAUCCCCUUUUUAGCAAUAUUUGAUACAGGGUCUAUCUGAAGUAUUUUAAUUUAAAAUUUGUACCUAUUUGCAUAGACCUAAAAAGUCUAUUAAUUUAUGUAUAAUAUGAAUAAAACAUGAUGUUUCUAACUGUAUUUUAAAUGUAAAAUCUUGUAAUUGAUUUGAGGUAGUACUGUAGGAGGGUGGACUUGCUGGUGAGUGGGCUCUCCAAACUUUGUUUGUGCAAACAUUUCUACCAAUUCUUUUCAAAUUUUUGUGAGUUGUUUCUCAUGACAAAGGAGAUCAAGUUUGAUAUUGGUAAUUUUCACUUUCUUCAUUAUGAAGCCUGGUCCACAUAAUCUAUUUUGUUCUUUAAUUUAUAGAACCAUUGACUAAUUAUUUCAAAAUGUUGUUGUUUCUGAUGACUAAAUGGAGGUUAAGUUUAAUCUUGACAAUUUCCUCUUAUUUUAAUAGUUGUGGCCCAUUUAUUGCUUAAACAAUAACACAAAUAAAUGCAAGGAAAACUGGAUUAGCUGUCAUCUUGACUGCCCAUGUAAAAGAAGAUGAAAAGCGAAGUAUGAAAAGUAAUCUAAUUUGCAUAAUAGAAGAAGAAGCCUGAGCAGCUUUAUAUUAAAUAUAUACGGAAUGAUCUUCCACCAUAUAGCCUUUUUGUGGUGAUGCAGCGUAAAGCAAUCACCAAUCAAUCUUAUAACGGAAACACAAUGUGAUAAGGUCAAAGUUACUCACUCAAACUAUGAUUAGGAUGAAAAGAAUAGUGAAAGGUAUUUUAGUAGCUAUGCUAUACAGAGAAAGAUGUUACCCAAAACUGAUAUACUCAGAAAAAAAUUGUGUUCUUACUAAUUAAAAAUAUAUUAUUAGUUUUUAAGCUUUUCAUAUUGCUUUUUGUCUCCUAUUUUUUGUAUCAUUUAUUUUAUAUACAGAUCAUUUGUAUUUGUUGAGAAC
rnacentral:lncRNA from 1 species